rnacentral:rRNA from 1 species
UGAAUUUAAGCAUAUCAGUAAGCGGAGGAAAAGAAACUAACCAGGAUUCUCCCAGUAACGGCGAGUGAACGGAGAUUAGCCCGUCACCGAAGUCCGGUGCUCUUGCACACAGGACAAUGUGGUGUUGAGGCGUGCACCUGGGGCACGCGUGCCCACCCGAAGUCCAACUCCGAUUGUGGCUUGGAUUUUGCCCAGAGCGGGUGUAAGGCCCGUACGGGUGGGCGGUUGAUCGCGAGCGCGGCCCUCAGAUGUGCAUGCUUUCGAGUCGGAUUGCUUGAGAAUGCAGUCCAAAGUGGGUGGUAAACUCCAUCCAAGGCUAAAUACUGGCACGAGUCCGAUAGUAGACAAGUACCGUGAGGGAAAGUUGAAAAGUA